UGAACUCAAAUUUGUAUGCAGUUGGAACGUUUGCCUACGUUUACCGCUAGGGGCGCUAUUCCAAUUGCAUACAAAUUUGAGCUA
rfam:Bombyx mori DNA, contig: Bm_scaf14_contig10778, strain: p50T/Dazao, build 2, whole genome shotgun sequence.